UACGUAGGAUCCAAGCGUUGUCCGGAUUUACUGGGUGUAAAGGGUGCGCAGGCGGACUUGUUAGUCAGAGGUGAAAUCUCACUGCUCAACAGUGAAACUGCCUUUGAUACUGCAGGUCUUGAAUCCAGAAGAGAGUUGUGGAAUUCCGAGUGUAGCAGUGAAAUGUGUAGAUAUUCGGAAGAACACCAGCGGCGAAGGCAGCAACUUGGUCUGGUAUUGACGCUCAGGCACGAAAGCAUGGGGAUCAAAC
rnacentral:rRNA from 1 species